GAUGGCGGUGGCCUACACAUGCCAGUCGAACGGCAGCACAGUAAGAGCUUGCUCUUAUGGGUGGCGAGUGGCGGACGGGUGAGGAAUACAUCGGAAUCUACUUUUUCGUGGGGGAUAACGUAGGGAAACUUACGCUAAUACCGCAUACGACCUACGGGUGAAAGCAGGGGAUCUUCGGACCUUGCGCGAUUGAAUGAGCCGAUGUCGGAUUAGCUAGUUGGCGGGGUAAAGGCCCACCAAGGCGACGAUCCGUAGCUGGUCUGAGAGGAUGAUCAGCCACACUGGAACUGAGACACGGUCCAGACUCCUACGGGAGGCAGCAGUGGGGAAUAUUGGACAAUGGGCGCAAGCCUGAUCCAGCCAUACCGCGUGGGUGAAGAAGGCCUUCGGGUUGUAAAGCCCUUUUGUUGGGAAAGAAAUCCAGCUGGUUAAUACCCGGUUGGGAUGACGGUACCCAAAGAAUAAGCACCGGCUAACUUCGUGCCAGCAGCCGCGGUAAUACGAAGGGUGCAAGCGUUACUCGGAAUUACUGGGCGUAAAGCGUGCGUAGGUGGUUGUUUAAGUCUGUUGUGAAAGCCCUGGGCUCAACCUGG
rnacentral:rRNA from 1 species